GACGAUAUUUAAAUACUAUAUUCGUCGGCUAUAGUAUUUUUAAUUUUUUUUUAUUAAGGUUUAGCCGACGAAUUAUGGCAUGUUUCGUCGGCUAUAGUUAUUUUUUUAUAUUUUUUUAUAAGGUUUAGCCGACGAAAUAUAGUAAAUUUCGUCGGCUAUAGUUAUUUUUUUAAAUUUUUUUUAUAAGGUUUAGCCGACGAAAUAUAGUAAAUUUCGUCGGCUAUAGUUAUUUUUUUAAAUUUUUUUAUAAGGUUUAGCCGACGAAAUAUAGUAAAUUUCGUCGGCUAUAGUUAUUUUUUAAUUAUUUAUUACACACUUUAGCCGACGAAUAUCUUAAUUGUUUCGUCGGCUAAAGUCUGGGAAAAAAACCGACGACAUGUUUUUCGUCGGCUAACUGUGGGACUAUAGCCGAUGAAAAAAAAAAUUUUGUCGGCUAAAGUCAUCACCGACGACCUUUUCCCGACGACACUAUAGCCGACGAAUUAAGAUAACAGGCCGACGAAAAUUUUUCGUCGGCUAAAGUGUUUGUCCUGGUAGUGAAUGUUUCACAAACUCAUUUUCAAAUAUUGUUUUACAAAACAAAAACAAUGAAUCGUAUUUGGUAUUUUGUGAACUUGAGAAUGUGUUCGGCAUUAUCUUCAGAAUAUCUGUUUUUGUUGAAACACAGUAUUAACAUAUAAAUAUAUAUAUAUAUAUAUAUGAAAGAUUUAUCGUGUUCCUCUCUGCACCUAUCACUUUCAAUACUCUCUCUCUCUCUCUUACCUCAUCUGUCCUCACUUUGCAACAAAGCAUGCCAAAGACAAAUAUUAAACCCAGAUUCAUAAACCCAAAUAUCCCAAACCCAAUUUCAGAUUUUCUAUCCAAAGCAAGCGGUAGUUCUCCCUAUUUUUAUACCAAUUAACCCACAUGAUCCAGACAUGUGAGAUUAUGCAAAUCAUUCUUAUUAUCAAAUAUCAAUUCGACUCGUAGUGAGUCCAAUUUUAAAAAGAAACUGGACAAGAAGGAAACUUUGCGGUCCUUGACCUCUCUCUCUUGAUAAACAAGGGUAUAUGAUCUAACAGAUCAGCAAAGCAAUCAUAGAAAGUUAAAGAGGAAGUUAGAGGAAGAGAUUGGUAAGUGAAAGAACUGUAGGAGAACAAGGGUUGUGGGGAGAGAGUAAAUCGAAAGAGCUAGCUUUGAGUCUUUGACUGUAUGUUUCUUUGCUUCUUUGACUGUGAUCGUAUUCAUAAAACAAGCAAAACGAGAAAAAGACCGUUUCCAAAAUAUACAUGGAGGUCAGAGUUGUGCUCUGAGAACAAUUCUCCGUGUUUUCAAGAUUCGCCGCAACAAACGCGUAUUCUGUUUGUUUCUAAAUUCGUAAUACGGAAAACAUUAUUAGGUAUCUCCGACAGUUGGUCUAAAACUUAAAUCUAUAGGUUUGCAUCUCGAACCCAUAAAAAAACCUAUUUAAUCAUUUUAUAUCAUCGUUUAAUCACAUAGAGUGAAAUCCAAAUCUAUUUUAAUAAUUAAUCAUUUUAUAUCAUUGUUAACUAUUUUAUAUUGAUAAAA
rnacentral:lncRNA from 1 species